UGAAGUAAAAAUGUGGUAAAGGGCCAUUAAAUUUUUAAAAAGAAAGUGAAGGAUGCCUUUAUGGCACGAGUAAAUCGGAUUAUGCCAACUUAUCCGAGUAUUUCUUUUUUCACAACCAAUACUUCAGAGUCGGUUCAGACCCUCACUCAGAUAUGCCAUCCUGUAAUGUAAUACCUCCCUCCCUUCCAUUCCUUAUCUCUGACUAGCAUUUCACACCUCUCUAAUAGUGUAAUUAUUUAGUCAAAACCCUCUCUAAUCUCUAAGAUAGAUUUAACAUGAUCUGUUUCUAACUUUCUAUUGUACACUUUGUUUUCUGUGUCAAUCUUGCUGAGUAAUAAAGCUUACACUUUUGAGCUAGAAAAGCCAUCAUGUCUGUUAAUCUUAUGACCCAAUUGCAGAGGCAGGGGCAUAAACACUCUGCUUAAGGAAUGAGGAUUAAAUGGUGAGAGAAACAGUGUUAAUGCAACUCUGGUGCUUAUUGGCUAUUGCUCUCCAAUUUCUUCACUGAAAAACAGUGUUUUUUUUUGCAAGUAUGAGUUUUUGGGAUGAAAUUAAGGUAGCGUGGAUUAAGUGGCAUGUAGCACUGUGAAUUGGACACAAAUCAUAAGAAGUAGAUACGGAUGCCAUGCGUAAGGAGCUCAUGAAAUUGUACCUCGGUCACUGUCUGCUGCACGCACCUUGGAAAUUGGAAUCCAUAGAAAGCAGAGACAUGAGGGAACCUGCGCCUUGAAAUUUAUGCAGAUCUAUCAAAGUUUCAAAUCCUGCAGUGCCACAGUUAAUUGCUAGGCUUGACAUACAAGUUAUUGAGAAAGAAGAAAGAAAGGAAUCCAGUGCUGAAAAUACCUCGUGUGUAUUAUUGAAUCCUAAUCAUUGUAUAUAUACAUAACAGAGUGAUAAGAGAGGAAGAGAAAACUAACUAACAGAAAAGAAAACUGACUUAACUAACAACCAUCUUAAUUCAUUAACAGCUUCACACGUGUCACGUGCAAGCGCUAAAACAUUAACAUCAUUACUACAGGUUGUUUAGCUAACUACAGAGUAUCGACUACUUGUAGCUUUCUUCUACACUGCAUUUCUUCAAUUCCCAAGUCUGCACUUCUUCAAUUCUUCAAGUCUCACAAUACUCCCCCUCAAGAUGGAACAUAAAUGUUAUUUAUGCCCAUCUUGUGCAAGAGAUUAUUAAAUUGUUGAUGACCAAAUAGCUUUGUGAGCAAAUCAGCUAGCUGGUGCCUGGUGGAGACAUGAAAGGUUUUGAAUAGUUUGUAUUGUAUCUUCUCUCUUACAAAGUGGCAAUCUAACUCUAUAUGCUUUGUCCUCUCAUGGAAGACAGAGUUUGCUGCUAUGUGGGUAGCAGCUUGAUUAUCACAGUAGAGAAGAGUAGGCUGAGUAUGAUCAACUCCUAGGUCGUUAAGUAAGGCAACCAUCCAUACAAAUUCACUCACAAGGGCUGCUAUUGAUCUGUACUAUGACUCUGUAGAGGAUCUUGACACUGUAUGCUGCUUUUUAGACUUCCAGGAUAUAAGUGAAUCACCCAAGAAAACACAGAAACCAAUAACUGAUCUUCUAGUAUCAGGACAAUUGGCCCAAUUAGAAUCACA